rnacentral:lncRNA from 1 species
AGAUGCCAACUAAUGAGAGGAACCCCCAGAUAGGUCAGGGCCCUGGUUUGCACCUGAAUCACCAAUUUCUCUCAAAUCGCUUGCUUCAUCCAAGCCUUCAUCUUGGGGCUGAAGAUGACUGUGGACUUCUGCAGAUUCACCAGUUGAUCCAAAGUCUGACAAUAGGCCUUGACGAUAGAAGCAAAAUACCUCACAUUCC